GGGCGGCGCGAAGCGCCACCGGAAGGUGCUCCGCGACAACAUCCAGGGCAUCACGAAGCCGGCGAUCCGGAGGUUGGCGAGGAGGGGUGGCGUGAAGCGCAUCUCCGGCCUGAUCUACGAGGAGACUCGCGGCGUGCUCAAGAUCUUCCUCGAGAACGUCAUCCGCGACGCCGUUACCUACACGGAGCACGCCCGCCGCAAGACCGUCACCGCCAUGGACGUCGUCUACGCGCUCAAGCGCCAGGGCCGCACACUCUACGGCUUCGGCGGCUGAGCCUUGACCCCGUCCGCGUCCUGCAGGCUCGAGCUAGGGUUUCUGAUGGAUUUAGGGGAGUUGCUGUGUUGGGUUCUGUCCUGUG
rnacentral:lncRNA from 1 species